UUCAAUCUUUUCCAGAAUCAGGGCCUUUUCCAAUGACUAGCUAUUCUAGUCAUCCACAAUAAAUGACAUUGUCAUGACUUCAAUGACAAUAAUGUUCGAGGAGCUUCUAGUCCAUCAAUGUACCUAUUUGUAUUUCUAGCUUUGACACAGAAUGAAAUGUUUGAAUCCUUCAAAAAUGUGUAUGUUGAAAUCUAGUCUCUAACCUUAUGGUAUUUGAAGGUGGGGUCUCUGGGGAGUCAUUAGGUCACAAAGGGAGAACUCUGGUGAAUGAGACUAGUGCCCUUAUAAAAGAGACUCCUAAGAACUCCCUUGUGAAGUUCCACCAUAUGAAGUUACAAUGGAAAGAAGGACAUUUGUGAACCAGGAAGUGGUCCUCACCAGACAUCACAUCUGCUGGUGCCUUCAUCUUGGACCACUAGCCUCCAGAACUGUUAAGAAAAAUAGGUUUUUGUUGUUGUUUAUAAGCAACCCAUAUUACAGUACUUUAUUACAGCAGCCUGAACUGACUACCCCCUAAUAUAAAAAGAAGUCUAUUAAAAUUUCAACAGCCAAUGAGUUAAUAGCCUAGAGUAGGGGCUGACAAAUGUUUUACGUAAAGGGUCAGAUGGUAAAUAUAUUAGGCUUUGCGGAUCACAACUACUUAUUAUGUGGAGCACCAAAGCAGCUGCAAUAGGAUAAUAGGAUGAAUUAGUGCAUGGCAUCAGCUGAUUUCCAAUAAAACUUCAUUUAUAGAUACUAAAAUGUGAACUUAUGAAAUCUUUCAUGUGCCAUGGAACAUUAUUCUUGCCUUUUAAAAAACCAUUUAAAAAUAUAAACACAAUUCUGAGUUCAAUAGAUAUAGUAAAAUAGGCAGGAACCAAAAUUGGCCCUCAGGUCACUGUUUGUGGACCCCCUGGCUAGAGUACCGAGUGGAUGAAGCCCUGGCCAGAGUCCAUAGCUGUGUGAACUUGUUUCUUCUGUUCUGAUCUGUUGGUUAUUCUUUGGUCAUAAAUUGCACUUCUACCUCCAGCCCACCACCAUGCAAAUACACUGGGAAGCAGGAACAAAGAUGAAUGAGAUUCACUGCAAAAUCACUGUUCCUGCAGACAUAUUACGUGUUCACACUGUGUAUUCUGUAGGGGAUAUACUACAAACAUCAACUAAGGCUCAGACCUACCAUCGGACAGGAGAGGCCCUUCCCCAUUGCCAAUGCAUCAGCUUCCUCAUGGAUACAUCUAAACUUGACAGAAUGUACCCACGAGAGGUCCUGCAUAGCCUUGCCAGGAAAUAGAAGUUAAAUUUUUAAAUACUGUUUUUAGUCACACUGCAGAUCUUGCUGGUGAAUAUCAUUUUAUCACUGAUUCAUACAGUGGAAUUGUUUUCUUCAUCAAUUUUGAGCUUAUUAACAGAGUCAAUUCAAUUCUGGUCUUCUGCUUUCUUCCAACUAAGUUGCAUGAAAGAGGUAAGAGAAGUCAAUGGUUAAUAGAAAGCUAUGGAUGUUAAGAGGUUUAAUCUAUUAAUAUAGGGCAGCAUUUCCCAAAGCGUGUUAGGCUAAUGCUGACUCUGUCAGAUGUUCUGCCAAAAAAAGCAUUUCAAGGUCAAAUAAGUUUAGGAAAUGUGGCAUAAAAUCUCUCUUCUGUCUUGAUGAUUCUUAAAGAGCAUUAAUAGUGUAUUAAAGGUUCCAAGGACUCUUGAAAUAAAACUGCUUAAUUAGGUUAAACUGUUCCUUACACUUACAAGAUCAGGAAGCUUUUCUUUUUCUUUACUUGACUAUUAUUAACAUCCCAAGAAACUAAUGAUCCAUAGACUAUAUUUCUGGGAAACAUUGAUACAGAAAAGGUGGAAGAAUGGAAAGCUUCUACGCAAGGGAGUAAGUUAUGCUAUAGAGCAAUCACUUGCAUAAGGAUCAGGCCUUUCUGUCUGAGUUUUUGUCAUUUUAGAUUAUCCCAUAUGCUACACAUGUGUUCAAGUCAGAAAAACAGGAGUCACAUUGGUUGUGGAGGAAACCUCUUAGAAAAUUGUAAAGUGUGUGCACAUUUCAUAAAUAAUCUCAAUAUUACAAAGGAUAAUACAAAAAGCAUAUUAUUUUCUUCUCUCUCACCCCAUUGCCAACAGCCUGGCAUAUUUUUCAGAGGUACCAGGCAGUGUUAUAAGUUUCCAUGUCACUUUUCAGUUCUUCUGUGAAAACUCUAAAUUCUAUGCUUCAGGGACAAUAGUUUUGAGUUAUAAAAACUCAGCAAUAUCUACUGAAGGAAUUUCUUCUUACACUUCUUUCCUCUGCCACCUCUCAUCACCAGUCUUUCCCCAAGGUCUAUCAAUUUGACUUGCGAAAUGCACUUCAGGUGUGCCCACUUCUCUCCAUUUCCCUGGCCAGCACAGUCGCUGGCUGUGUCCUAACUGUAUUCUACUUUUCAUUCUUGAUCCAUUCUCUUUAUUGCAGCCACAAAGGUAUCCUUAAAAUGUAAAUUACCCUCUGGCUUCAAAAUCUUCUCAUUAAAAUAAAAUUCACCAUCUUUAUCAAGAUCUGUGAGGAUCUGCAUGACCAGGCUCCUGCCUACCCACCCCCACAAAACACAAACACAUACACACUCUCACACAUUCAUGUCUAGCCUCUCAGAAACUCCCUUAUCCAACACACAUGCCUUCCUUUUAUCCUUGAACACUUCCAAGCUUUUCUUCUCUUUACAGAUUUCCUACUUGCUAUUUCCUCUACCUAAAUUGCAUUUACCUCCUUUUUUCUUUUUUUUUUUGCCACGUGAAUCCCUGUGCCUCCUUCAAAUAUUAAUUUAAAUCUUUCCUUUUCAGAGACCUUCAGUUCAGUUCAGUUCAGUUCAGUCACUCAGUCGUGUCUGACUCUUUGCCUUCACAGAGCACCAAAUCUGAAUCAGCCCGUUUUUUUUUUCACAGCCCCUUGUUCUUCUCCACACUACUUCUAACAAUGUGCUAUUAUAUAUUUAUUUUUUACUGUCUGUAAGAUCUAAGAGAUCUUACACAUCUUGUUUUAUUCCACACUAAAUGCAGGAAAACUGUCAUUUGUGUCUGGUCACAGAAUGGGCUUAAAAUUACAUAUUACAUGAUUAAAAUUAGCCAGUGGAAAGUUCUUUUUAUCUCCUGCCUUUUUCUUAUGUGAAACUUUAGACCCUUCCAGAUUUCCAUGUUUUGCACGCUUAUCACCCAAAAGGCUCAUUCAUUCAUCUCUAUUAGAAGGCGAACUUUAAGGACCAACUCAUGUAACUCUUCUCUUAAGCUUCACCAACCAGUUUGGUUUACUUUACUCUCUAGUUAGGAACUUAUUGUAUUUAUUUUCUGUACCAUUCAUUUGGUGCCUAAUCUCAUAUUGGCUUGUAACAACUUAUCAGGUGUGUUAAUUAACAACUUAUAUUUACAUAUGCGGUCUUGCCAAUGAUGUCAUAAAUCUAUGGAGUACAGAACUUGUUACUUAAUACUCCACAGUUUACAGCAUGCCUGCCUCUGCACAGAGCAGCUGAAUGAGAGUCCCCAUCCACCUGCUUUUAACGCCUCAACUUUAAGACUUUAAUAUGGAAAUAUGACCCAUUUCCUUUCAGUUUAUUUUCUUUCUCAACCCUGUGUGUUGCCAUUUCCUUUCUUUCAGAAAGGACCCAUUUCCUUUCAGGCUAUUUCUUCCUCAAUCAGUGUGUUGCCAUCAUGCUGGGAAUGAAAGCUGUGAACAUGUUUAUAAUAGUUCUCCAACCCUUCUGAUGUACUUAACCAGAUUUCCUCAAGCUACUUCUGAAACACGGAGUAGAAAAAUUUUAUCAGAUCCUGAAGUGCUCUGUUAACAAAAGAAAAUAAAGCAUUAAGAAUUCCUCUUCAAGAGUAAUGAAUGUUGUCAAAGAGACCAAACACAGUGUCACAAGAGACUGGCAGAGGAGGCAUGCUGGUGCCAAUGUACACUAAUGUUCCUUCAGAGGUUGUGUUUGUUCACGCAUAAGUUUUCAUAAGCACUCAAGAAUUAACACAAAGACAAAGAGUUCUUAGGGCUGCCCAGAUGUUGCCAGAAAGAAGUAACAUCUGAUUGCAUUUUUGGAAGAUAGUAAAGCAAACGGUGAGACAUUCAAGGUGACGUUGAGAUGCUCAAGAUGACUUUCUUCACAAACCCCAAAGUGAUACCCAAACAUGACCCUAAUAUGAGGUAUUUUAUUUUUUUCACCACCUUAACAGAAGCGUCUCCCUCUUCUGCAAUUAGAUGUUACACUCACUCUUUUAAGGAGAAAUGUCUCACUGUAAGAUUUACCAACUCAUGCUGAUUUAUACUAAUUUUAUAGAUAACUAUAACUCAGAAAUAGGAGUAAGGUGGGAAUUUGUUAACAGAACAGGUGUAGAAGAUGCUCUCAGAAAAGGGAAAAGAGUACUCUAAAGACCUGUGCCCUGAGAAAUACAACAGAAGAAAGGCUGUGAGUCUUGAGUCUGGCUGGUAAAAACCGAUCCCAUCUCCUAGAAAAUUCACAUACAAAUGGUCCUUAACAUGGAUUUUACUUUAAGACCUGCUCCUUCCGUUUGAGUGGCUGACUUAAAACUAUAUUUAGUCUCUUUGCCCUUUUCCAUUAAAUAGGCUUCUCAGCCAAAUCUCCAAGUCAUAUGAAUACAGAUACAGAGAGAUGGGUAAUUGAAACCUCAAGAUAAUUCUCACAUUUCCAUUUGCACAGCGUGUCAAACAGUUCUUGAUGCAGCCUUUAACAAGUAGGAAGACACGAUUCACUUGAGAUUUAGGUCACUCUGCAGUCCCCACUCUCAUCCCUGUUCAUGUCACAAUGGGGCAAUACAUAAUUCAACCGGCCGCCAAAGCUCCGGCAGAUCCAGAAAGAACCUUGGUUGCUCACACCUAGUAAGUCCAUCCAUGGAAGAAUAAGUGUUCAUAAUUCUACCCAUCCCGAGAGGUGAAAGAGUAGGAGGCUGGCAGGGUGAUAGCAGCCUUCCCUCAAGCCCAUCCGCACCUGUGGUAAUCUGGUACCCGCUUACCUGCUCUCUCCAAGAUGACCAGGCCCAGCAAGAAGAGGUGGAACACAGCUGAUGGGGUGAGACGCCGCCCAGGCCCAUUGCAGUCUAGGGGUCGGUAAGCGGCGACACCCGAGCAGGGGGAUUCUUGCGGGCACAGCCCAAGGAAAAACUGGCGCCUUCAUCAGGGAAGACUUGUAAGGGGACAGACACGCACAGGAGUGGCUUGUCACAGUUCUGAGCCAGGACGUACUCAAAAACAGCAGUCAACGCCCAGGCUCUUUUCUUGGACAAUAUGGGAUAUAAGAAGAAAAGCCAAAAAAGGAAUAUUGUCCUAUAAGUUGUCUUCAUUUUCCUCAUUACAACAAUCAGCAUACAAAUAAAUAAAAUUUAAUUCA